rnacentral:rRNA from 1 species
CAGCAGCCACGGUAAAACGGAGGGGGCUAGCGUUGUUCGGAAUUACUGGGCGUAAAGCGUACGUAGGCGGCUUUGUAAGUUAGAGGUGAAAGCCCGGAGCUCAACUCCGGAAUUGCCUUUGAGACUGCCGAGCUAGUAGGUGAGAGAGGUAAGUUGAAUUCCGAGUGUAGAGGUGAAAUUCGUAGAUAUUCGCAAGAACACCAGUGGCGAAGGCGGCUCACUGGCCCAUUACUGACGCUGAGGCACGAAAGCGUGGGGAGCAAACAGGAUUAGAUACCCCGGUAGUCCCUGUCUCUUAUAA